CCUUGAUCCACCCUUAUUGAUUUAAAAAACCCAUCAAGCACCAGUAGUGCCUAAUCUUCAACCCAUGACCAAAGUGAUUCUUCUGUGUCUGAAAUGCCUUAGUUUACAGGAAUUGGCGUCCUGGGACUAGGGAUUCCCAUGUAUGCAAGCCUAGGAGACAACCUAACCUGUGGACUGGGGCGUGGAGAUGGGAUUGGACCAUAGUUAUUGAAAGUCCCAGGAGGCACCCGAGGAGAUAGGUUGACCUGUUCCAAUGCUCUUGAUUGCAGCUCUGUAGGGUAGUCUCUGACACACCCAAUCCGGGGUCCUGCCCCAGUUGUCCACUUGCAAGGUAAGCGUUCAGGCCAAUCAAAAACAGUUGCCUUGGCGUCGGCAUUGCUAGUGUCAAUUUCUUGCUCUGUGAUUUUAGUCUCCUUAGUGGACAAAUCCAUAUCAGGUUUAUUUGUAUCGUUGGGUUGAGAAACUGGAGCAGAAACCACAAUUGAUUCUGGCUUUUGUUCUUCUUCAGAUACAACACUUGAAGGACUGUCAUCAUCAAUUGCACACCUCUUAACAUUUGUGAGAUCUACAUGAUUUUCCCGAAGGAAACUAAUAAAUUCCCUGAAGUUUUCUUCUGUUGGAAGAUAGUGACCGCUGUAUGGCCAGAUUGCCUCAAGAAUUCCAUUGUGGGCAACCAAUCUUCCAGCUGCAGUGGUGGCACCACCAGAAAGGAAACUUGAGUGUUGGAAAGAAC
rnacentral:misc_RNA from 1 species